rnacentral:rRNA from 1 species
GAUGAACGCUAGCGGCAGGCUUAAUACAUGCAAGUCGUGGGGCAGCAUGAAUGUAGCAAUACAUUUGAUGGCGACCGGCAAACGGGUGCGGAACACGUACACAACCUUCCUAUAAGUGGGGAAUAGCCCAGAGAAAUUUGGAUUAAUACCCCGUAACAUAAUGAUGUGGCAUCACAUUAUUAUUAUAGCUUCGGCGCUUAUUGAUGGGUGUGCGGCUGAUUAGAUAGUUGGCGGGGUAACGGCCCACCAAGUCUACGAUCAGUAGCUGAUGUGAGAGCAUGAUCAGCCACACGGGCACUGAGACACGGGCCCGACUCCUACGGGAGGCAGCAGUAAGGAAUAUUGGUCAAUGGACGCAAGUCUGAACCAGCCAUGCCGCGUGAAGGAUUAAGGUCCUCUGGAUUGUAAACUUCUUUUAUCUGGGACGAAAAAAGGCUUUUCUAAGUCACUUGACGGUACCAGAUGAAUAAGUACCGGCUAACUCCGUGCCAGCCGCCGCAGUAACAC